CUCUGGGAAUAAGAAAAGAAAGACUUUCAGGCUUUCAAGAUGCAUCACCAUGUAUAUUGUAUCUCUUAAUCAUGGUAUUCUAUCUUUAUAACCAACAUCAAACUUUAAUUUGGCACUUCCUAAUGCUCAUAACAAAGAUAAGCUAGUAUACACAUGUACUUUACACUUUUAAAGUCGAAACACUCUUCAAAUAGCUUUUCUAAUUAGUUUUCUCUACUGCCCAUAAUAACUCCAUAGGGGGUAUCAGUUCUAUAGAAGACUUAGAAGGGACAAUCAUUCAUGGAAAGCUUUUAAAGUGUUUACAAAUGCCUUUUCCACAAAAGUUUGUCCUUUAAUUAGAUUUAAAAGUGUAUCUGGUCUGGAGUUUCCAAAGAGUGUUACACAGAAUUCUUCUUUGGCUUAAUUGCCAGAGAAAUGCUCCUUAAAAAAAGGUGUUUUGAUCAUAGAUUUUAGAAAUGCCUCAAAUAAUAUCUGCUUCCUGGAAAUAUCCAAAGUAAGUCUGUACAUUAAAGACUUCGAGAAGUCUUAGAAUAAUAAGGAAACUCUCAUAAUCCAGUGUUUCCCAUACCUGACUAUGUAAUUCUUACUUUCAUUGAACACACAGAUAACACACUUUGGAAGAAGCUAGUUUACAGCGAUUUCUUUUGCAAAAUUGUAACAUUCCAUAAGAAAAGCAUUAGGCAUAUUUAAUCUUAUAUUACUCAAUAUUCAGGAAAAUGAAUGUGACUAAUACAUUAUUGCAGCACAGGCUAGCCAAUGCCAACUAACAUACACCCCUACCUACACAAAGAAAGGAACAGAGAUGAAUGGAUCAUAACCCUCUCUGAAAAGCAAAGAAAAAUGUUUUUCUCCUAUCUUAUACAUCAGAUCUGUGGGCCUAUAUUCCUGAUCCAUGUGUCAAGGAAUGAGAAUCAUUAUCUAAAUGAUAAAAAUGAGUACAAAUAACCAAGUAUUAUGUAGUAGCAAAUACCAGUGUGUUCCAUUUCUAAUUAAGAAAUACGCAAUAUAGAAAAUGCUAAAACUCAUUUAAAACAAGAAAAUGUUACAGCAUUUCAGAUGUAACUAAAAGUAAACUUUUAGUUGUAAUUAAAAGAAAUAUCAGCAGAGAAUUUUAUUUUAAUGAUUUUCCCUAAUAUAUGUAAUGAAUCAUGUAAUGCUUCUUCAAGUGAUUGUGUUUAAAUAGGAAAUGAAGUUUAAAAUUUGAAUUGUUGAAUGGGUUUGCAAAACUCAUUUAACCUGUUAAUUUUGUGAGUGAUAAGUACAUAAUGUGUCAUAAUCCAAAACAGACUCCCACGUGGCAUCCUUGGGACCUCAGCAGCAUAGACUGGGGUGGGGGUGGGGGGGAGAGAAAAUGAAAACAAUGAAGCUGACAGGACUAAGGCUAAGGGAAAUAACAUACCUGCAGAUUUGACUCCCUACAAGCCAGUAGAUAAAAAUUCAAACCAGUAUUCAAAUAAAUGAAGAAAACAGGUCUGACAGAGGCCAGCUGGAGCAGAACAGAUAAGGGUGGCUGGCAAAGAUUUGAUCACAUAAACGGGCCAUGGUAGCAACCAUCUUCAUGUAAAGAAUAGCCUUGAUUUUGACAGAAGAGACUUGUACCUCUAAUUUAGUGAACACCAUUUGGCAAAUAAUUUCCCUCUUAAAAUGCCUGCAUAAUGAUGAAUACAAACUAUUCAAAGAUAUUUUGAUAUGUAGAUAUUUAAUAGGUGUCUGGGCCUGCUUACUACAUAAAUGACUAUAUCCUGAAUGGUAGACUAGUAAGUCAUGGACUUCAAUUCUGUACUUCACAAAGGUAAAAAAUUAUAAUGGAAUUUUGGAGUCUGUCCUAAAUGCCAAGAUUCCACAGUAUUUAAGGUGAGGUUGGUUCCUAACUCAAACAAAAAUGCAACCACCAUUUGGGGAUACAAAGGGAAGAGCCUAAUCCUCUUUAAAAAUAUCUAUCUAAUGAUAAAGAAUACAUCAUAAAGGAGGUAAAAGUGUUCAAGACCACUGGAAUCUUUUUUCAAGUUUUAAUAUUCAAUAGUGUAUAGUGCAUACAACCUUCCCCUCCAUCCUCUCAAUCAUCUUUAAUAGAGCACCUUUUUCUAUAGUCAUCAACGCUUUAACAGGAGACCCUGAGUUUUAGGGAUAGCCCCAGCCCCCUAUCCCAGUGCCUGGUCUCAACUAGCCCAAACCAGUCACGGCGGUUAUAUUCCCCUUGUUCAUGACUGGUUUAGGUAUGAAUAUGCAACAGUAUGGAAUAUUUCUGGUCAGUAAGAUGGGAAGGAGUUUUUUGAAAGCAUUCUAGAACUAUGGAAAGCCAGGAACUAUGAAGUCCAAAUAUACUUGAAAAACAUGCUUUGAUCAUCUGAAUUACCAAAUGUAUUUCUUAUAAAUCACAGUAUCACACCUACCUAUAAAGAAAUAUAUUUAGCAAGGUUUUCAUCUUAGUCUUGAUUUCACAAAUGUAUUUGAACAUGAUUUCUUUUCACAGCAUACUUAUUAAAGUUCUAUAGAUCACCAUUCUGAAGAAAAAGCUAUUCGCUACUUGGAUGGAGUCAUAAUUGAAACUCUACUAAAAAUAUCCAUGUUAAAAAUCCUGUCCAGAAAUGUAUUCACUAUAAAUUCUCUUCCAAAUGAUUUCUAUAGAAGUACUCCAAUUUGCUGCUAUUCUCUCCUAAACCUGCCCAAUCAGGCACAUCCACACCACUGACAGAAACAAGUCUGUGUAAAUUCACCUUCUCAGUGAGGUCUACACUGAACAUCCUGUUGAAAAUUGCAACACACCCUUGACCUGCUGGACUUCUCAAUAUCCCUCCCUUGUGCUACAUUUUUUCUGUAGAGUUUAUCACUUUACAUAGUAAUUUACUUAUUAUGAUGAUUGCCCGUUUCUUUCCACAGAAACAUAAGCACCUGCACCCUUUAUGAAUGAUUAUGGUGAAUAACAAUAAAUUAGAAUGCACAAUAAAUGACCUAGUAUCAAGGAAUAAAAAGAAUUUUACUUCUACCUUUCUAGAUGCUUAGCUGAGAUAUGCCCCUUCCCCAGGCCACUGUAAUAAAACACAGAUUAACAGGAGAAAAACAAAGAGAGGCUUAAUAACAUGUAUGCGUCUUGUAUACAUGAGAGAUACCCAGGAGAACAGAGCAAUUCUCCUAAAAUGCCCAAGCCACCACCUUAAAUACUAUCUCCAAUGAAUGACGAAAGAAGGUAUUGGGCUGGGUGAGAGCCAGUUUGGGGAGGUUUUCAGGCAAAGCAAACAAGCGAGGUUCUUAAGCAGGUUUAAGUCCAAGCCUUCUCCACUGAUAAGGGUUUCUAGAGAUUUAGUCAUCCCCCUCUUCCUUGUACAGAAGGUAACACCCUUACAAAUAUAAAUUUCCUGUAUAAAUAUAAAUCUCUUACAAAAGGGUAACAUCUACUUGGUUUUCAGAGUGUUUCCUGUGCCUACAUUUAAGAAAAUAAUAAUCAGCACAAAAUAACAGUAAGUAGGUGCAUUUUAUGUGUAAGGGGCACAUUUUGGGGAUGACAACUCCUGCUCUUCUUCACUAGGCAGUUCCAUCAUAGGGCAAGGGCUGGAGAGAAGCUGGGGAUUGUAACUCUCAGGAGAAAUAUUUUCCCAGUCCAGGGCAAAUUACCUUUGAAACUGAAGUCAGUCAAAGGGAGAAAUAAAUUGGGAGAAACCUGUUCAUUGCCUUCAAGCAGUCAUCCACUUCUGCUCGCCUGUGUCUCUCAAACCCAGCUGCAAAAGGAGACCUCUCCAGUCUAGAUAAGCCCUCGCUCUCCCCUGUAAUUACCUGUUGAUAAAAGAGAUAGACUACUCUCCACCUCUUGAAAACACCUAUUUAUAUGGAGAUGCACUAAGGCCAGUCCAGAUAUUCUGGAAAUAUAGCAAUUUUACCCACAGGGAUGGAGUUUGAGUAACAAAGUUGAGAUAGAAGAAGAAUCUGAAUUUUGAGAUGAGAGUCUAAGUAAGGCCUGCAUGAUAGGGAACAUAUAUGCUGCUCCAUCUUCCAAUGACUUUGGUUGUAUUUGAUGUUAAGUAUAAAUGAAAUGUGUAUUCAUAUUGCUUCAUCCAGCCUGACAUCAUUGUCACAUGGAAGGAAAUGUGAAGUAAGUAGGUUAAGUAAGACAAGGACCUGUGCCUGAUUUAUUCAUGCAAGAUUAUCUCAGUCUGGUAAUACUAAGAUUUUAAAUUAUCUUCUAGUCUAUGAAAUACAUUGCUUUCUGUCAGGGUUGGGUAUUGGUAUUUCUCUUCCCGGAUACUGGUUUUCCUUAAAUGUCUGAUAUUCCUUGGAUAUCUGUAUGUACUUAUGAAGGACUAUAUCAAACUGCACAGGAGAAAACUUCAGAGAAAAGCAGUUUCCUCAGAAGUUAUGUAUACCUGCAUUAGAUCUCCUUUUUGAUAAGAGCUUUGGUUCUGUCAGUUGUCAGGACAUUUCAACCAGCAGGGCCCUGCAGGUGGUCAUGCAGGUUUAUUGUUCCCUACUGUGAUCACGCAGAAGCUAUUGUUCCGAUGGUAGCUCACAGCCUGCUGGAAUUCGCUAGUCAGGCCUGCCUCUGUCAAUCCCCUCUGGCUGUGCGUGGCAUGUACUCCGCCCAAGUCUUUUCUCCCCAGUUGCCACUAGCGAAACCCACUCUGAGCUCUAUUUCUCUGCUUUCCCGCCUGCUCCAUACCACACACAAGUUUCAAGUAAGGAUGCUGUACUCUGGAAGUGGAGUGCUGCCAUUGCAUACCAGCACUCUCUCCAUCCCCAAGUGAAAAUUGACUUCAUUUUUGCUCUUCCUUUUGAUUGGCACUCCAAUACCCUCACUGGCGAGCCUCCCCAGGGAUAAUCUCUUUGAAAAGUUAUUCUUAGUGCUUGUCCUGAAGAAAAAACAGUUUUGCCAAUACCAGUUUACCUUAAGGGAAGUCAAAAGGGCAGGGGUUCCCAAUGUAUAAAUGAUUGACCUCAGGCAACCUGAAUUCUCAUAAAACUCUCUCAGAAAAGACUUAAAACUCCUAACACAAAACUGCCUACAGUCACCCAUCAAAUCAGGAGUAAAUUACGCCAAUUCUGGAGCACCAAAAGAAUCUCACGCCUACUACUAUGUGCCCCCAAUUUGGGACAUGUUCAAUCCAGAAAACAUGAAAUUAGUUCAAGAAAAAGAUUAAGUCAUUUUUCUUCCCAAAAGGAAAAGAUUGAUUGAUUUCAUGUGCUGAUUUGUAGUGUAGACAUUUCUUAAGUAGUUUUUCAUUUUCUACCUAUAAAAUCUGUACAAUAAAGAAAAAAAUUUAUUUUAAGUUUUAAGUUAUUGAGGAAACUUUAAUGUUGAUUACUGAUCUAAUUUCCAGUUGCUUACAUAUCAAACUACUCACACACACACAUUUAGAUUUAGGUAAUCUAAAUAUCUCUUUUGAUAUUUGGCUUGUAUUUUACAUAAUUAUGAUUGUUUCAUUUUUCCUUGCAAAAAUUAUGCCAAAGAGCCAAAAGGGAGGUUAAAAAAAAACAGUGGCUCAAAUAAAUGUUCAGAAUGGGAAAAACAAGGAAAAGAAUCAGACCAUGGAGAAAAAGGGGAAAGAUGCUAAUAUAAAAAUAAUCCUUAACAUUAAUCCUGAUUUGAAAAUGGCCUUUUUUUCUUCCUCAUUUGUUUCUGUUUGACAAGCUACAGAUAUAGCCUUCAGACCAAAAUUCAAAGUAUUUUCUAAUUAUCAAACAAAAGUUGUAAGUAUAACUUCCAAGAAAUAACUAAGAUAUAUAAAUAAAAUAAAUUCAUUUUUUUCACAAUUUUCAAAUUAAAGAUGAUUAUAACAAAUACAGCUUUAUGCAAAGUCUCUGCUUUUUCCUAGCCAGGCCUAAAGAGGAAAAAACCCAAUGGCAAGAAUACUUGCUCCUAGCAAGCAAAUACACGAAAAUCAUAAUUAAAAAAUCUUCAAGCUACUAAUAUUUAUGAGGGAUGGGGGAUGAUGAGAGAAACUACCAAAUGGCAAUGAAACAGGGUCCUAUUAGGGUUUUCCGAUUAGUCAAAAGUAACUUCUUAAUAUGGUCUAUGAUCAAUUUACACAACCUAUGUCCAGAUUUGUAGAAUAAAUGUUUAACAAUGAAGUGACAACAGAGAACACCACAUAUUGUAAAUAGUGUAUUUUUCUCACUUACACGCAAUGUUGUAUGAGACAUUCACUAGUUUUAAUAUGUAUCCAUAGGAUUAAUACUCGUAGAGUAUAAUGUGGAAAAGUGCAGGACUAAAGAAAUAAGUCUAUCUGGAAAAAAAAGCACAUAUUUCUUAGGAUUUAAAAAUAUUGCACAUAAUAAGGUUGCACAGAAAUUACUGGCUGUUUUUACAAACAGAAUGAGGUAUUAGUCAAUCUCUAAAGAUGAGUGCAAAGAGGAGAAACCACAUAUAAU